rnacentral:rRNA from 1 species
UACAGAGGUCUCGAGCGUUAGGCGGAAUCACUGGGCUUAAAGCGUGUGUAGGCGGAUCGUUAAGUGCCUUGUGAAAUCCCACGGCUCAACCGUGGAACUGCUUGGCAUACUGGCGGUCUUGAGCAACCUAGGGGCGAGCGGAACAAAUGGUGGAGCGGUGAAAUGCGUAGAUAUCAUUUGGAACGCCAAUGGUGAAAACAGCUCGCUGGGGGUUUGCUGAUGCUGAGACGACGAAAGCCAGGGGAGCAAACGGG